rnacentral:rRNA from 1 species
UACAGAGGUCCCAAGCGUUGUUCGGAUUCAUUGGGCGUAAAGGGCGUGUAGGCGGCUCCGUAAGUCGGGUGUGAAAUCUCGGGGCUUAACUCCGAAACUGCAUUCGAUACUGCGGUGCUUGAGGACUGGAGAGGAGACUGGAAUUCAUGGUGUAGCAGUGAAAUGCGUAGAGAUCAUGAGGAAGACCAGUGGCGAAGGCGGGUCUCUGGGCCGAUAUUGACGCUGAGGAGCGAAAGCGUGGGGAGCGAACAGG